CCGGAGGGAAGCGAGUGGCGAACGGCUGAGUAACACGUGGAGAACCUCGCCCCCUCCCCCGGGAUAGCCGCCCGAAAGGACGGGUAAUACCGGAUACCCCCGGGCGCCGCAUGGCGCCCGGGCUAAAGCCCCGACGGGAGGGGAUGGCUCCGCGGCCCAUCAGGUAGACGGCGGGGUGACGGCCCACCGUGCCGACAACGGGUAGCCGGGUUGAGAGACCGACCGGCCAGAUUGGGACUGAGACACGGCCCAGACUCCUACGGGAGGCAGCAUG
rnacentral:rRNA from 1 species